rnacentral:rRNA from 1 species
ACGCAAUAAGCACUCCGCCUGGGGAGUACGGUCGCAAGACUAAAACUCAAAGGAAUUGACGGGGGCCCGCACAAGCAGCGGAGCAUGUGGUUUAAUUCGAAGCAACGCGAAGAACCUUACCAGGACUUGGCAUCCAAAGAAUCCACAAGAGAUUGAGGAGUGCCUUUCGGGGAACUUUGAGACAGGUGGUGCAUGGUUGUCGUCAGCUCGUGUCGUGAGAUGUUGGGUUAAGUCCCGCAACGAGCGCAACCCUUGUCAUUAGUUGCUAACAGUAAGAUGAGCACUCUAAUGAGACUGCCGGGGACAACUCGGAGGAAGGUGGGGAUGACGUCAAAUCAUCAUGCCCCUUAUGUCCUGGGCUACACACGUGCUACAAUGGCUAUUACAAUGAGAAGCGAAGCCGUAAGGUGGAGCGAAUCUAUAAAAAUAGUCCCA